rnacentral:rRNA from 1 species
AGACCCUAUCGAGCUUUACUGGAUACCAAUAGCGUUAAUUUAGAAUGAUCGAUACUAAGUAUUCUAGUUUUAAGUUAAUAAUUCUUGUUGGCAGGACAGUUUAGUUGGGGCGACUACCUUUGAAUAAGAAACGAAGGCGAGCUUAUGGUAUUAUUUAAAAUCUCAUUAGCCUGACAGUGAGGGGGACACCCCUAGCUGGCACAAGGACUUACCCAUAUUGUAUAUAAUAUAUAUAUGUAAUGGGUUCCUAUGUGGGCGAUAAUGACCCGAUAGAAUUAUCCUAAUUAAAUAUCGAAAGCGGAUAAAAGCUACCGCAGGGAUAACAGCGUAAUAUUGUCGGAGAGUUCUUAUCG